UUGGUCCGAGAGUAGUGGUGUUUA
rnacentral:piRNA from 2 species